rnacentral:tRNA from 1 species
GGGUCGUCGCCAAGUGGUAAGGCACUAGGUUCUGGUCCUAGUAUCGGGGGUUCGCCCUGCAUACGCA